GACUACAAGGACCCAUUGGGAUGCGUGGGAUGCCAGGUUUACCAGGGCCAGUCGGUGAGUCAGGCCUUCAAGGACCCCAGGGUCGACAAGGUGAUGAUGGAGCCAGGGGAGAAC